GUAGGUGGCAAGCGUUGUCCGGAAUUAUUGGGCGUAAAGCGCGCGCAGGCGGUUCUUUAAGUCUGAUGUGAAAGCCCACGGCUCAACCGUGGAGGGUCAUUGGAAACUGGAGAACUUGAGUACAGAAGAGGAAAGCGGAAUUCCACGUGUAGCGGUGAAAUGCGUAGAGAUGUGGAGGAACACCAGUGGCGAAGGCGGCUUUCUGGUCUGUAACUGACGCUGAGGCGCGAAAGCGUGGGGAGCAAACAGGAUUAGAUACCCUGGUAGUCCACGCCGUAAACGAUGAGUGCUAAGUGUUAGGGGGGUUUUCCGCCCCCCUUAGUGCUGCAGCUAACGCAUUAGGCACUCCGCCUGGGAGUACGGCCGCAAGGCUG
rnacentral:rRNA from 1 species